rnacentral:rRNA from 1 species
GUCGAGGGGCAGCGGGGUUGUAGCAAUACAACUGCCGGCGACCGGCGCACGGGUGAGUAACACGUAUGUAACCUGCCCUCUGCAGGGGGAUAAGCGGAAGAAAUUCCGUCUAAUACCGCAUAAUACAAUUUGGAGACAUCUCCGGGUUGUCAAAGGAGUGAUCCGGCAGAGGAUGGACAUGCGGCGCAUUAGCUAGUCGGCGGGGUAACGGCCCACCGAGGCUACGAUGCGUAGGGGUUCUGAGAGGAAGGUCCCCCACACUGGUACUGAGACACGGACCAGACUCCUACGGGAGGCAGCAGUGAGGAAUAUUGGUCAAUGGGCGCGAGCCUGAACCAGCCAAGUCGCGUGAGGGAAGACGGUCCUAUGGAUUGUAAACCUCUUUUGUCGGGGAGCAAAAGACGCCACGUGUGGCGUUCCGAGAGUACCCGAAGAAAAAGCAUCGGCUAACUCCGUGCCAGCAGCCGCGGUAAUACGGAGGAUGCGAGCGUUAUCCGGAUUUAUUGGGUUUAAAGGGUGCGCAGGCGGAAGAUCAAGUCAGCGGUAAAAUUGAGAGGCUCAACCUCUUCGAGCCGUUGAAACUGGUUUUCUUGAGUGAGCGAGAAGUAUGCGGAAUGCGUGGUGUAGCGGUGAAAUGCAUAGAUAUCACGCAGAACUCCGAUUGCGAAGGCAGCAUACCGGCGCUCAACUGACGCUCAUGCACGAAAGUGUGGGUAUCGAACAGGAUUAGAUACCCUGGUAGUCCACACAGUAAACGAUGAAUACUAAUUGUUCGGGGAGAAUGAUCCCUGAGUGAUACAGCGAAAGCGUUAAGUAUU